rnacentral:lncRNA from 1 species
UUGACGACUUUCUCACAGGAUACCCAAAUUGUUUUUUUUUUUGUUUUUGUUUUUUUGCUUUUUUUUUUGUUUUUUGCUUCUUCUUUUUUUACUGACACACACAUAACAAUGGAUUCCCAUGAAGGGGACAUUAGGGUAAUUCCUGCAAUGGUGUCUGAUGCACAAUCUUCAUCGCCAAGAAAACAUGUUAUUUAAGCUUUUCCUCCUCUAAGCUUGCAUAGAGUUGAGCUCAUUCAUUUGCCCUUUUCAUCUCUGGUUUACAUUGCAGUAGUUCACUCACGGGACAUGUGGCAUUCAAAGUACCCCUACUCAUGCGAAAGAUGAACGACACAAGGAACACUAGUAAACAACAUAACAUCCCUUGUCUUUGGCUCACAACAUUCACCGAGGGUCCCAUAAGUUUCAACUAGGCCAAUAGUGAUUGGAUUCUUAGAGCUAGUACAUUCAUGAAUGUUUCCCACCUUUCAUACUCGGUUAAUCAAUGCAAGAACCACUCUAGGCAUCCUUGAGUAAGACCUCUUGUUGUAAGUAUGGAUUCACUCACCAAUCUCAAGGGUGUACUUUUACGAUUUUCUCUAACUUCAAGAUAGAGGUAUACUGCCCAGGGUAGUUGUAUGGAGCUUUGCCCUCGAGAAAUGCAUUUAAGAUUUGCCCAAAUUCUUUCAUUCUGACAAGCUUGACAAAAUCUUAUAUCCGUUCUUGAACGCGUCUUUCAGGGUUAUUUCAAGGGAUUAAUAUUGCUUCCCUUGGCCUCAAUGUGUAUGCUUUUCUUCAAAAUGUCUGAACUCGAAUACCCCUUGACUCAAAAUUCCAUGUUAAUUUCCAUUUUUACCGUAAUCAAGACUUUAUAAUUUCUUGACUAGAACCCACAAAAUUUGACGAGACCAUAAAAACAUGAGCAACAAAGAAAGAAGGAAAAAGAAUGUAGUGAUAUGUACAAGGUGCUUGAUUUUAUUAAGCAAAAAUGAGGGUUAUAAGACUGCACACAUCUCCCCUUAUGCCCUAGUGAAGGUUCAACAUUUUAGAUUUAAGGUCAAGUAUAUGCAAUCUCACCAGGAUAGUUCCCUGAGCCUAAGGAUCAAAGGUCACUAGAGCUAUAGCCCCCUUCAAAGCAUCUCCACAACAGUCGAGUAAUCAACUAGAUGAGGAGACAUAAGUGAAGAGAACAGAAUCUAGCUGGAGUUCUCACGAUAGCCAGACAGGAUAUACAUCCCAGAGUGACACCGCUACAUAACUCCUCUAAUUCUAAGUUAUGCUCAGACCCGGGUAUAGGGCCCCACUCAAUAGAUGCAUAAUAUGUGUGUGUGUGAAGGGAGAAUGCAAUGCGCCCAAACCCUCACCUGCAAAACAAGCAGAAGAUUCCCAGGCAGAUAUAAACAUGUUUUCUACCCUAGGGUUCGAUAUCCAACAAUUCACAUGCAGUUAUUCCAAAUAUCAAGCAUAAAUAAAGAAAAGGGAAAAGAAAAACACAAAGCAAAACCACAUCGAAUUCGCACAUCUAAUUAAAUGGCCUGACUCUCACAUGGUCCCUAGUGGAGUCGCCAUCUGUCGCAACCGGAAAAUCGCGAUGGGACGACGAUCCAAAAAAGAAACAGUUUUUGGAAAAAAGAGAUUUUGGAGUCGCCAUCAUAGUUUAUCUGGAAAACUACGGAAAAAUCGUAAAAUGAUAAGGCAAGGUCUACAAAACCAAAUUCUGGUUUCAGAAGUCGGUUACGUGUGGGGAAGGUGUUAGCACCCCCACCACGCCUGCCCUAAGGCAGUACCUUUAACUAAAUACGCGAAUUUGAUGUGGUUUGCAAAAUGUUUAAUUUCCCCUAAAAAAUAAAACUCUAAAGAAAACAAAAUAUUUUUUUGUGUUUUUUGUGCCCGACAAGGAUUGACCUUGCUCCUACGUAUUCUC